GCAAGUCGAGCGGAAAGGCCCCUUCGGGGGUACUCGAGCGGCGAACGGGUGAGUAACACGUGAGCAACCUGCCCCUGACUCUGGGAUAAGCCCGGGAAACUGGGUCUAAUACCGGAUAUGACCACUCCAGGCAUCUGGUGGUGGUGGAAAGUUUUUCGGUUGGGGAUGGGCUCGCGGCCUAUCAGCUUGUUGGUGGGGUGAUGGCCUACCAAGGCGACGACGGGUAACCGGCCUGAGAGGGCGACCGGUCACACUGGGACUGAGACACGGCCCAGACUCCUACGGGAGGCAGCAGUGGGGAAUAUUGCGCAAUGGGCGGAAGCCUGACGCAGCGACGCCGCGUGGGGGAUGACGGCCUUCGGGUUGUAAACCCCUUUCAGCAGGGACGAAGCUAACGUGACGGUACCUGCAGAAGAAGCGCCGGCUAACUACGUGCCAGCAGCCGCGGUAAUACGUAGGGCGCAAGCGUUGUCCGGAAUUAUUGGGCGUAAAGAGCUCGUAGGCGGUUUGUCGCGUCUGUCGUGAAAGCCCACGGCUUAACCGUGGGUCUGCGGUGGAUACGGGCAGACUAGAGGCAGGUAGGGGAGAAUGGAAUUCCCGGUGUAGCGGUGAAAUGCGCAGAUAUCGGGAGGAACACCGGUGGCGAAGGCGGUUCUCUGGGCCUGUACUGACGCUGAGGAGCGAAAGCGUGGGGAGCGAACAGGAUUAGAUACCCUGGUAGUCCACGCCGUAAACGUUGGGCGCUAGGUGUGGGGUUCUUCCACGGAUUCCGCGCCGUAGCUAACGCAUUAAGCGCCCCGCCUGGGGAGUACGGCCGCAAGGCUAAAACUCAAAGGAAUUGACGGGGGCCCGCACAAGCGGCGGAGCAUGUUGCUUAAUUCGACGCAACGCGAAGAACCUUACCAAGGCUUGACAUCGCCC
rnacentral:rRNA from 1 species